UACGGAGGGUGCAAGCGUGAUUCGGAUUCACUGGGCGUAAAGGGUGCGCAGGCGGCCAAGUGUGUCAGAUGUGAAAUCCCGAGGCUCAACCUCGGAACUGCGUCUGAAACUACUUGGCUAGAGUACUGGAGAGGGUAACGGAAUUCACGGUGUAGCAGUGAAAUGCGUAGAUAUCGUGAGGAACACCAGAGGCGAAGGCGGUUACCUGGACAGUUACUGACGCUCAGGCACGUAAGCGUGGGGAGCAAAAGCG
rnacentral:rRNA from 1 species